AGAGUUUGAUCAUGGCUCAGAUUGAACGCUGGCGGCAGGCCUAACACAUGCAAGUCGAGCGCGAAAGUUCUUCGGAAUGAGUAAAGCGGCGGACGGGUGAGUAACGCGUGGGAAUCUGCCUGGUAGUGGGGGACAACGUUCGGAAACGAACGCUAAUACCGCAUACGCCCUACGGGGGAAAGGGGGGGAUCUUCGGACCUCUCGCUAUCAGAUGAGCCCGCGUCGGAUUAGCUAGUUGGUGGGGUAAAGGCCUACCAAGGCGACGAUCCGUAACUGGUCUGAGAGGAUGAUCAGUCACACUGGAACUGAGACACGGUCCAGACUCCUACGGGAGGCAGCAGUGGGGAAUAUUGGACAAUGGGGGAAACCCUGAUCCAGCCAUGCCGCGUGUGUGAAGAAGGCCUUAGGGUUGUAAAGCACUUUCAGUGGGGAGAAAGGUUGUUCACUUAAUACGUGAGCAAAUUGAUGUUACCCACAGAAGAAGCACCGGCUAACUCCGUGCCAGCAGCCGCGGUAAUUC
rnacentral:rRNA from 1 species